rnacentral:rRNA from 1 species
CCUACGGGUGGCAGCAGUCGAGAAUCAUUCACAAUGGGGGAAACCCUGAUGGUGCGACGCCGCGUGGGGGAAUGAAGGUCUUCGGACUGUAAACCCCUGUCAUGUGGGAGCAAAUUAAAAAGAUAGUACCACAAGAGGAAGAGACGGCUAACUCUGUGCCAGCAGCCGCGGUAAUACAGAGGUCUCAAGCGUUGUUCGGAAUCACUGGGCGUAAGGCGUGCGUAGGCUGUUUCGUAAGUCGUGUGUGAAAGGCGGGGGCUAAACCCGCGGACGGCACAUGAUACUGCGAGACUAGAGUAAUGGGGGGGGAACAGAAAUUCUGGGUGUAGCAGUGAAAUG